AUUCUCUUCUCCCAAAACACACAACAUCAAUGUCAUAUUCUUUUCUCUCUCAUUUCUCUCAAAACUUCAGAUUUAGGAUAAUAAGAUGCAGAAGAUGCGCAAUUGUACACAUCCAUUCUCAUGGGUAGGCUUGUUGUGGACAUGUAGGAAAAGAAGAAAUCACUAUCAGUCAUUUGAACAGAUUGGUUUUCUGAUAUCUAUUCAUGUUAUUUGUUCAUGAAGACAUUAUUGAUGAUAACUCAAGUGAUUCUUGGUGGCUAGAAGCCAUAAAAGUAUUUGAGGAUGUGGAGAGUCAGUAAAAUGCAACAAAAUCAUGGAGCUUGAGAGAAAAUUGAAAGAGUAGGGGGAGAACCCAUAAUCCAUGUUUAAAUAGCAGGUGCAUAUUUUGGGACAACUUGCCUUAACACUAUGAUGGUACCCAAGGCAGUGCAGACAAAAUGCUUGGUGCAGAGAAAAUGUAAGUAGAUUUUGGGACAACUUGCCUUAACACUAUGAAUCUAUGAUAGUACCUAAGGCAGUGCAGACAAAAUUCUUGGAACAGACAAAAUCCAACCGAAAUCUUAUUCUUGCCAAUGCUUAAUUCUAAGAAAGGGCUGUUUAUUUUCAAUUUGCACAUCCAUGAUGGUUAGAGCAUUAUCCUUUUUCAAGGUCUAUCAUUAUCCUGUUUCAUGGCUGUUUUGGAGUUUUUUUGGUGUCUAUUUCCUGUUCGUUUGGUAUGUAUUAUUCUAGGAUCAUUGGUGCGGAGGAGCCUUUCAUAGCUCAAAUUCGCUAUGUUCAUCGAAGUGACAGGGUGAAGAAUCAUAGUUUGCUUAUCUACUGUGUGUGUAUGUUUAUUUAUCUAUGUUGAAUGAAUGCUGUUUUGUUCUGUUAUUUUAGAAGUUGUUGACUCCAUUUGAGAUACGCGGUUACCAAGGCGCUUAUAACUUGGUAACAAAGAGAUUUAUGAAGGUGCAGUUCGAGGGUUGGUCCCAAUUGAAAGCCCUAUUCCAGCGAAAUUUCCACUUUCAGAUCCAUCUGAUCUGCUUUCCCUGAAGCGCUUGCUCAUAAUUUAAAAGCGACUGAAGUGGAUAAGUUGUCAAUUUUAAGUCUAGCCAUAGCUGAGACACGUGCAGCAGCUAUGAUGGGUGCAAAGAAGGGGACUAUAAUUCUCAAACUAUUGAUCAAAUAACAGUCCUGUCAAAAUGAAUGUAAAUGAUGAGGCUAAGAAAGUUGAGCCACAUACAACAGCAGUUCAUUUUAGACACAAGCCAUAUAUGCUAACAGAGUUGAAUGUAAAUAGCAGUAAGCUUUUUUUAUGUCAUGAUAAAUAAAGAUUAUUUAAUAAUUAAUGACUAGUACUUAACCCCGUGCGAUGCACGUGUUUAGGCGGGAUUUUGGUCUAAAGUUGGCGCCUAAACAUGUAUUUUGUUUUAAUAUAUUAAAGAUAUUAAUUUAUCAAAUACAAAAGAUGUAUGAU